CGAAACAGUGAUGUGGAGUAAAACUUAGAAAAACGGUCUCAGUUCGGAUUGAAGGCUGAAAUUCGCCUUCAUGAAGCUGGAAUUGCUAGUAAUGGCAGGUCAGCAUACUGCCGUGAAUACGUUCCCGGGCCUUGUACACACCGCCCGUCACACCAUGAGAGUUGGAAAUACCCGAAGCCUGUGAGCUAACUUUUAGAGGCAGCAGUCGAAGGUAGAGCCAAUGAUUGGGGUGAAGUCGUAACAAGGUAAC
rnacentral:rRNA from 1 species